GUAGGUGAACCUGCGGAAGGAUCAUUAACACAUCCUUUUAUAACUAUAAACAAUUUCGCACUCCCUGAGCCUGUUGGAGCGAAGUCUGCUUGAGCUAUGGUUGAUUUAUUUAGCUUGACAGAUAGCUAGCCGCUUUUGCGAGCUGGAACUUCGACUUCUUCGGGUAUACAGUCUCAACCAUGGCUGGCCUUUUUUUCUUUUACUGUCUAAUCGGACUGAUUUAGAUGUGGAUUGAGCUGAGUCUUCUUUC
rnacentral:misc_RNA from 1 species